rnacentral:rRNA from 1 species
UUCUGCCUUCGGGUAGACAGAGAGACAGGUGGUGCAUGGUUGUCGUCAGCUCGUGUCGUGAGAUGUGGGUUAAGUCCCGCAACGAGCGCAACCCUUAUCUUUAGUUGCCAUCAGGUAAUGCUGGGCACUCUAGAGAGACUGCCGGUGACAAACCGGAGGAAGGUGGGGAUGACGUCAAAUCAUCAUGCCCCUUAUGUCCUGGGCUACACACGUACUACAAUGGCCGGUACAAAGGGCGGCGAAGGGGUGACCUGGAGCAAAUCCCAGCAAAACCGGUCUCAGUUCGGAUUGUAGUCUGCAACUCGACUACAUGAAGUCGGAAUCGCUAGUAAUCGCAGGUCAGCAUACUGCGGUGAAUACGUUCCCGGGCCUU